rnacentral:lncRNA from 1 species
AAAUAUAGUUUUUAUGAUAAAAAGAGAGUAAAUAUGAGAAUAAUGAGUUAUAUGAUGAAAAUGAUCAUAUUUGAGUAUUUGAGAAAUUUCGAGCAUGAAAUUGAGAAGGAAUUUGUUAGAUAUGUUCGUUGAUGUGUUUUCUAUGAGAUUUGAGUGGAUGACGAAAGAAAAGAGUCGAGAUUGAGUAUUACGAGUAUUUUGAUGUUUUUGAUGUUUUUGAAUGUUUUUAAGUGCUUUAAGUGCUUAAAAUGAGUUUUGAUGUAUUUGCUUUGUUUAAUUGUUGAGUUGAGCAUGUUUACUUGUGUGUAUGUUUCGGAGUCGUUUUUCACGACCCACUGACCUACUGUUUUCGAGGGGUUCUUGAUACCCAAAUGCCC